rnacentral:rRNA from 1 species
AGCAGCCGCGGUAAUUCCAGCCCCNAUAGCGUAUAUUAAAGUUGCUGCAGUUAAAAAGCUCGUAGCUGAAUUUCGGGACCAUCAUGUCGGUCGUGCCUCGGUACGUACUGGCAUUGUUGGUUUCUCCCUUCUGACGAACCAUGAUGUCAUUUAUUUGGUGUUGUGGGGAAUCAGGACUGUUACUUUGAAAAAAUUAGAGUGUUUAAAGCAGGCUCACGCUUGAAUACAUUAGCAUGGAAUAAUGAAAUAGGACGUUUGAUUCUAUUUUGUUGGUUUCUAGGAUCGACGUAAUGAUUAAUAGGGAUAGUUGGGGGCAUUAGUAUUCAAUUGUCAGAGGUGAAAUUCUUGGAUUUAUUGAAGACUAACUACUGCGAAAGCAUUUGCCAAGGAUGUUUUCAUUAAUCAAGAACGAGAGUUAGGGGAUCGAAGACGAUCAGAUACCGUCGUAGUCUUAACCAUAAACUAUGCCGACUAGGGAUCGGAUGAUGUUAAUUUUUUAAUGACUCA